rnacentral:rRNA from 1 species
GAUGAACGCUGGCGGCGUGCCUAAUACAUGCAAGUCGAGCGAACAGACGAGGAGCUUGCUCCUUUGACGUUAGCGGCGGACGGGUGAGUAACACGUGGAUAACCUACCUAUAAGACUGGGAUAACUUCGGGAAACCGGAGCUAAUACCGGAUAACAUGUUGAACCGCAUGGUUCAACAGUGAAAGACGGUCUUGCUGUCACUUAUAGAUGGAUCCGCGCCGCAUUAGCUAGUUGGUAAGGUAACGGCUUACCAAGGCAACGAUGCGUAGCCGACCUGAGAGGGUGAUCGGCCACACUGGAACUGAGACACGGUCCAGACUCCUACGGGAGGCAGCAGUAGGGAAUCUACCGCAAUGGGCGAAAGCCUGACGGAGCAACGCCGCGUGAGUGAAGAAGGUCUUCGGAUCGUAAAACUCUGUUAUUAGGGAAGAACAAAUGUGUAAGUAACUAUGCACGUCUUGACGGUACCUAAUCAGAAAGCCACGGCUAACUACGUG